UGACAUGUUUAUUUACACACGAUCUUGUAGC
rnacentral:piRNA from 1 species